rnacentral:rRNA from 1 species
CCUACGGGAGGCAGCAGUGGGGAAUAUUGCACAAUGGGGGAAACCCUGAUGCAGCGACGCCGCGUGAGUGAAGAAGUACUUCGGUAUGUAAAGCCCUAUCAGCAGGGAAGAAAAUGACGGUACCUGAUGAAGAAGCCCCGGCUAACUACGUGCCAGCAGCCGCGGUAAUACGUAGGGGGCAAGCGUUAUCCGGAUUUACUGGGUGUAAAGGGGGCGUAGACGGCAGUGCAAGUCUGGAGUGAAAUGCCGGGGCUUAACCCCGGGACUGCUUUGGAAACUGUGCGGCUGGAGUGCAGGAGAGGUAAGUGGAAUUCCUGGUGUAGCGGUGAAAUGCGUAGAUAUUAGGAGGAACACCAGUGGCGAAGGCGGCUUGCUGGACUGUAACUGACGUUGAGGCUCGAAAGCGUGGGGAGCAAACAGGAUUAGAUACCCCUGUAGUC